UUUUAUUUGAGAGUUUGAUCCUGGCUCAGGAUGAACGCUGGCGGCGUGCCUAACACAUGCAAGUUGAGCGAUUUACUUCGGUAAAGAGCGGCGGACGGGGGAGUAACGCGUGGGUAACCUACCCUGUACACACGGAUAACAUACCGAAAGGUAUGCUAAUACGGGAUAAUAUAUUUGAGAGGCAUCUCUUAAAUAUCAAAGGUGAGCCAGUACAGGAUGGACCCGCGUCUGAUUAGCUAGUUGGUAAGGUAACGGCUUACCAAGGCGACGAUCAGUAGCCGACCUGAGAGGGUGAUCGGCCACAUUGGAACUGAGACACGGUCCAAACUCCUACGGGAGGCAGCAGUGGGGAAUAUUGCACAAUGGGCGAAAGCCUGAUGCAGCAACGCCGCGUGAGUGAUGAAGGCCUUCGGGUCGUAAAACUCUGUCCUCAAGGAAGAUAAUGACGGUACUUGAGGAGGAAGCCCCGGCUAACUACGUGCCAGCAGCCGCGGUAAUACGUAGGGGGCUAGCGUUAUCCGGAUUUACUGGGCGUAAAGGGUGCG
rnacentral:rRNA from 1 species